GGGCGGCUAGCUCAGUCGGUUAGAGCGCUUCACUCACAUUGAAGAGGUCGGGGGUUCAAGUCCCUUGCCGCCCACCA
rnacentral:tRNA from 1 species